CGGGGCCUUUGCAGCCUCCAUACUUAGCGAUGGCCUCCUGGACCCACUUUCUCUCUCAAACUGUCUUUUCUCAUUCCUUUGACUCUGCUGGACUUCGUCAUCCCCACGACCCGGUGUUGAGUCUGAUCACCCAACAUCAUCAGGAUAGAAGCUUCCCUCUCCUCCUCCAGACCUUGUGGUGUGCACGUGGGAGUCCAGGGACUAGAAUACUCAUUUUCAAAGCCUGACAUUGGACCCGGGAGACAGGGAAAAACCAUCCUCAGGAAGUCACAAGAGAAAGAGAGAGCACAGAGGUAUACAGCAUGUGAAACUUUGGACUGCUCAAAGAAGACAUUUUCAAACAUAUCUUUUCAGGACUGUCAAUAGGAACCGUAAGUGAGUUUCAGGCGCAGAGUGAGGCAGUGAGGAAAUAAAAAUAGAGUCCGCGCUUUCAAGUGUUUCCUGAUCUGCUGGGGAAAAUGGUCAUAUUAACACAUGGAGUCAUGGCACAGUGUGUGCUAAGGAUCAUGGUAAAGGUGUACACAGUGAUUUGCUAACAAGAGGGAUAGAAGGUGUGGCUCAGGGAAUGACACAGCUGUCUGAAAGAGUCAAAAUGUACCACAGAGAACGUGACAGAGAUCUGGAUCUCAAAGAAAUGAGAGGUUGCCUAGGGAGCAACAACAAGGAGGGCAUUCCUGGCAGAGGAAAUGGCAUGUGCAAAGAGACAUCAAGAGGAUGAAGCAUUAGAAAUAUAACUAAAUUAUGGUUAUAGCUUGGGUGCCUAUUAAUAGAUCUGCUCAAUAUUAGGCAAAAACAAUAACAAUUGAGAAUUUGUAUAUCAUCUUUGGUGUCUUCUUUGAUAACUUAUUUUGUGUAUGUGUGUUUUUCUUUCCUGCUACUACUCUGGAGACUUGUUCCACUGGUGACCUUUAUGCAUUCUAAACAAUCGUAAUUUCACAGAGUAAGUUGUUCUCUUCUCCCUAUGUGUUUUGUCACUAGCCAUUGUUUUAAAGUAGCUUGCUUGGUUUUUUGUAUUGCAUCUUGUGAAAGCCUAGAUGCCUAGGGGCUUUCAUACAAAUGUAGAAGUCAAAAUACAUUUCUUCUUGGAAGGUAAUAAAGUGUGAAUGUUUUCAACAAAUAAAG
rnacentral:lncRNA from 1 species